rnacentral:sRNA from 1 species
CCCUAGCCCCGAUAGAAGCGAAAAAUCCUUUUGUGCCGGGGUUCGGUACAAAAGAUUGCAGCGAAUAGCGGGAAACAGC